rnacentral:rRNA from 1 species
AACGAACGCUGGCGGCGUGCUUAACACAUGCAAGUCGAACGGGCUCUUCGGAGCUAGUGGCGGACGGGUGAGUAUAACAUAGGUAAUCUGCCUUUAAGUGGGGGACAACCAGCCGAAAGGUUGGCUAAUACCGCGUAAUAUCGUUGGUUGAGAUACGAACGAGGAAAGAUUUAUCGCUUUUAGAGGAGCCUAUGGUUGAUUAGCUAGUUGGUGGGGUAAUAGCCUACCAAGGCGACGAUCAAUAGCUGGUCUGAGAGGAUGGUCAGCCACACUGGGACUGAGACACUGCCCAGACUCCUACGGGAGGCUGCAGUCGAGGAUAUUUAGCAAUGGACGAAAGUCUGACUAUGCGACGCCGCGUGAGGGAUGAAGGAUUUCGGUUCGUAAACCUCUUUUGGCAGGGAAGAAAACUUUGCUUCUAAUCAAGCAAAUCUGACGGUACCUGCAGAAUCAGCCAC